AGCUCCAAUAGCGUAUAUUAAAGUUGUUGCAGUUAAAAAGCUCGUAGUUGAACUUGUGGCGUACACUGGGCUCACGUUGCUUGUUUGUGAUGUUGGUGCCUGGUGUUGCCAUCCUUGGGUGGAAUCUGUGUGGCAUUAGGUUGUCGUGCAGGGAAUACCCAUCGUUUACUGUGAAAAAAUUAGAGUGUUCAAAGCAGGCUUAUGCCGAUGAAUAUGUUAGCAUGGAAUAAUAAGAUAGGACCUUGGUACUAUUUUGUUGGUUUGCGUACCAAAGUAAUGGUUAACAGAAACAGUUGGGGGUAUUCGUAUUUCAUUGUCAGAGGUGAAAUUCUUGGAUUUUUGAAAGACGAACUACUGCGAAAGCAUUUACCAAGGAUGUUUUCAUUAAUCAAGAACGAAA
rnacentral:rRNA from 1 species